rnacentral:rRNA from 1 species
GACGAACGCUGGCGGCGUGCUUAACACAUGCAAGUCGAACGGAAAGGCCCUGCUUUUGUGGGGUGCUCGAGUGGCGAACGGGUGAGUAACACGUGAGUAACCUGCCCUUGACUUUGGGAUAACUUCAGGAAACUGGGGCUAAUACCGGAUAGGAGCUCCUGCCGCAUGGUGGGGGUUGGAAAGUUUCGGCGGUUGGGGAUGGACUCGCGGCUUAUCAGCUUGUUGGUGGGGUAGUGGCUUACCAAGGCUUUGACGGGUAGCCGGCCUGAGAGGGUGACCGGCCACAUUGGGGCUGAGAUACGGCCCAGACUCCUACGGGAGGCAGCAGUGGGGAAUAUUGCACAAUGGGCGGAAGCCUGAUGCAGCAACGCCGCGUGCGGGAUGACGGCCUUCGGGUUGUAAACCGCUUUCGCCUGUGACGAAGCGUGAGUGACGGUAAUGGGUAAAGAAGCACCGGCUAACUACGUG